UUCCUGGAUUGUGUGAUGCACCCAUACCAGUGUUCCAGUCCUUUCCACGGCUCCAUCCCACGCCACCCCCUUCCUCCCUCCCUCACUCCUGUCACUUUUCCUUUCACCUGUCCGCACCUGCAGGCAGCACGCGGAGUUCUUAAGGGAGCGAGGCACUCACUGGCAGGCACGGGCACCACCUCACCUGUCGCGGCGCAGGAAAUAGCAAGGCCAGCGCCAGAAUCCAGCCCCGUCAGUAGCGCCGCCAUGGAGGAGAGGACGCCACAGCAGCUGCUACAGGAACACUUGGAGGAGUUGGCGAAGGUGGAGCAGCCGCCCUCAGUGACGCUGGAUGAAGUGGUUGCCCUCAGUGAUCAGUUCCCCGUGCGCUUCCCCACCCAGACAGCCCGCCUUAAGACUCUCCUGAAGGGCGGCGUGCACGAUGAAGCCACGCUGGAGGAGCACGUGAACUCUGCCUACCCUGUGGUGCACGAACGAGUCUUGCCGCUCCUGGCCGCCUUCCUUCACUUCAAGAGGCACCACGGCAGGAAGAAGGAAAGGGAGGUGUACGGCACGCUGGGGCUGCUGGAUCUGGUGGAUCGCCUCCUGAAGAAGCGGCCCAUCGUGUUCUACAACCCGAGUGACGUGUACGUCCUGCGUGACGGCUUUGAAGGGUGUGACGGCUUCCAGGACAUCGGCCAUUCCAAGGAGCACGGCAGACUCAUCCUGAGGGACUACUUGAGCUAUGAUGAAAUGAAGCUGUCGGCGCUCGUGGCGGUGUCCUCACACUCUGUCUUCAUUAACGACGGCGGCCGCCACAACCGAGGCCUGCCCGCCGCCUCCGACAACUUCGUGCCGAGGGGCGUCAUCGUGGGACAGGUGGGCGCCAGGUUUGAGCGGGAGGGAGUAAUGGAGUGGCAGGACUGUGUGGUGACGCCGCACCAAAACACUCCCUAUCGCGGCUACGGCAAGGAGCCUCCCUCGCAGCCCCGCCUGGCCAGGCUGUGGGCUCACCUGUGGGGCGAGCCCUUCCUGCCCUCGUGGGAGGAGGCCGCCAAGUGUUCCGAGGACGAGUUCGUGCCACACUCCUCAGAACUGCUGUUCAACGUGCGGGUGUACAAGGCGCGCAUCCAGCUGCCGGCGGAGACGCUGCUGGCGGAGGCUGGUGCACGGGCUGCUAGUGUAGGCCUGAAGGCCUACGUGCGUGUAGUGGGCCUAGGCCUUGGGGUGUGGAGCUUCACUCCCCGCCAGAAGCAGCUGUUUGUGGACGCGUGGGCCGACGCGCUGGCGGCCGCAGACACGUCUUAUAUUAGCCACGUGGACUUCACCUGGAUCUCAGACGUGACGCGGUGCGGCGAGGCGGGGGACGGGGAGGAGUUCCCGGGUAAGGGCGUCGUCAUUCGCUUCACCAAGAGUGGUCUGCACUCGGCGCCGUUGCCUGACGGCACUCUCUUAGUGACCAGCUUCGCCUGGGACUCCAACUCACUUCCCGGCAAUGAGUACUGGCGGGGCAUGCUGUCAGCCUCCGGGGACCCCGCCGCCGCCUGCUCCUCCACCGUGGCGGAGCUGCACAACUCCCUCAUCAACCCACGCGUCACGGCCACCAACCUGCACGUGGCGUCGCCGGGGCGUGUGAGCACGUGGCUGCCUACGCGCGCCGCAGACUACAGGCCGAUGCCGCUCCGCAGUGAAUGGUUGUCUUGCAGGUGUGGAUGCUCUUCCUCGCAGAACACGUCAACACCUGGACGCUGGGGAGGCGAGUGAACCCUGCCUGUGAUCUGCACCGGCCGCGCCCGUGCACUCACCUCGGAACCUGCAUUGUUCGUGCGUUGUGUUGGAGUGGUGCGGCCUGUAUGUGACUGUGUGACACGUCCGUAUUGCCUUAGAGAGAGAGAGAGAGAGAGAGAGAAAGAGAGAGAGAGAGAGAGAAUUAAAACAAGAAAAAGGGGAAAAAAAGAGUCACUCAUUUUCUGCUCCCAAAAAUGUUCAUGAGAAAAGAGUGAAGUAAGUGAGUAACUAGAGGUAACUAGAAUGAAUAUGGAAACCCGUCACGGUACUGAAGGAGUUAAAAUUGAAAAUGUCUGAAUUAAACAUAGAACAUACGAAAUGGAUCUUAAAUUGUUGCUUUGUACAGCGGAUGUCGGUCGUGUGAUAAGACAAAGGGCCACAUCUCCAGCCAGUGAGGCGAGGGGGCGUCUGUGGUGUAAUGGACGUAUUAAUAUCAUGCAUAAAUUCGUAAUGCUUUAUUCUCUAAGCUAAUUUCUUACUCAACUCUCAAUAGUCUUCCUGUAAUAACUAUCUCAUAGCAACACUUAAAAAUUUCUUUCCUAAAAUAUUUUCUUAAAGUUUGUUCUUGCUCCUCGUUAUUUCCAAGUACCCUUAACUCCCUAAGAACCAUGACGCGUUUCCUUAUUCAUUCUGUUUAAUACUUGGUGAUUUUAUACAACUUUAUAAACUUAUUUGGGCGAUUAAAAUAGUAAAGACUGUGGUCAUUAAUCUUCUGAUCUCCAUAGACCCUAGUGUCAAUAAAAUGGCCUAAUCGUACACAAUUCUCAAGGUAAAAAUGUGUCCCAGUACUGAAGGAAUUAAAAAGAAAACAAAAAUCUCCACUCAGAGAAGCUUCACGCAGCCAGGUGACUGUAACUGAUCUAAGGUAUUUUGAUAUUAUUGGUGAUAGUUGGACAAUGAUUCUAUAUGGUUAAUAAAGAAAAAAUAGCCUUGA